ACGCUAAAAAUGUCUUUCGCAGAGUGUCAUCUCCAUGCUGGUAAUGGAUUCUAAUCUAUAGGAAAAGCAAACGGGGAAGUAUUGGAGUUUCGUUAUUGGACAUCACAGUACUGAUACUGAAUUCAAGCUGCAAGAGGUGCUCAUGGAACCUGAGGGGAGAAAAUAUACCUUAGGCACAUGAGGGACCUGAACUAGGAUGAAAAGCUGGUAAAUAACUAAGAAAAUUUUAUUCCUUUUCUUC
rnacentral:lncRNA from 1 species